GGAGGGGUGCCGGAGUGGUCGAACGGGACGGAUUCGAAAUCCGUUGUGCCUGCGAGGGCACCGUGGGUUCGAAUCCCACCCUCUCUUCCA
rnacentral:tRNA from 1 species